UUAAAUGGCCGCGGUAUUCUAACCGUGCAAAGGUAGCAUAAUCACUUGUCUACUAAAUAUAGACUUGUAUGAACGGCACCACGAGGGCUACACUGUCUCCCCCCUUUAAUCAGUAAAACUGAUCUUCCCGUGAAGAAGCGGGAAUUAAAAUAUAAGACGAGAAGACCCCAUGGAGCUUUAAACUAAGAGCCAACUGCCAAAUUUAACACCACUAUAUUCUGCAAUCAUGACUUAAAGUUUUCGGUUGGGGCGACCACGGAGCACAACAAAACCUCCUCGAUGAAAGAACAUAAAACUCUCACCCAAGUAUCACAUCACAAAGGACCACUAAUGUGACAUCCAUUGACCCAAUCACUUGAUCAACGAACCUAGUUACCCUGGGGAUAACAGCGCAAUCCAUUUCAAGAGCCCGUAUCGACAAAUGGGUUUACGACCUCGA
rnacentral:rRNA from 1 species